GCCUGGCUGGCUCAGGUGGUAGAGCAUGGGACUCUUGAUCUCGGGGUUAUAAGUUCAGGCCUCAUGUUGGGCG
rnacentral:tRNA from 1 species